GCGUUGUUCGGAUUCAUUGGGCGUAAAGGGUGCGUAGGUGGCGCCAUAAGUCAGGUGUGAAAUCUCGGGGCUUAACUCCGAAACUGCAUUUGAUACUGUGGUGCUUGAGGACUGGAGAGGAGACUGGAAUUCACGGUGUAGCAGUGAAAUGCGUAGAUAUCGUGAGGAAGACCAGUGGCGAAGGCGGGUCUCUGGACAGUUCCUGACACUGAGGCACGAAGGCCAG
rnacentral:rRNA from 1 species